GUGUGGGGUGGCUGCGGGGACAGAGACAUGCAGGGCGGCCUCCCCUCAGACUCAGAUCACUAAGCUCUGUGGCAAGGCCUGUACCGUCUUAGCCAUCUCUUCAGCUCCAGCAUGCUUUCAAGAGCAGCAUCUAACGCCAAUCCUCCAGGACUGGAGCUGCUGGCGGGUGUUGGGUUCACCUUCUUACUGAAGAUGCUGAGGAGAUAGUCCAUGAUGUCUGCAACCACAUAGAGGUCAGCUGGCACUCUUGUUGACAGAGCAAAGCCAUCAAACAACCUCCCUGGGCACGAUUCAAUUUGUGGCAGAAGGUCAAGCCACGCCAGCUGGAACUGGGCCUGGGGUUCCGGGGCCGUCUGGAAGGCCUCAAUGCUGUUGCAGCUCAGGUC